AGCUCUUAAUAAUAUGGUGAGACCCGCUUAUUUUUAAAUUAUUUGAGCUGUCGUUAAUCCUGCUCUUAUGUGAACUCGCAGGUACAAUAGGAAUGCAAACUAAAUAGAUUAUCAAAGAUUUAUUAUAGAACCAUUCUUAAACUCAAACUCAAAUCAUAAUCAAUCAACUCUCGCUUCAAAGAUUAUCUGAUGUCUAAACCUAGAAUUCCAACUCUCAUAUGUGAAUCAAGGAGAGUGUUGACCGUCAUUCUAGGGGUGUCGUGUCGAGUCUGUCGACCAUCACUUUAGGGGUGUUGAUGGAUACUACUUUUAAACAAGCUUUAACGUACAUGUUUGAUGUGUUCACUAAACAUAUAUACCAACUCUCGUAUGUGCCUAACUGAUUAGCUCAUCUAGGUUCAAUUCAGGUGAAUGACUAUGCUCUUGCUUGCACCAAUCAUCCUAGGAUCUAGCUUUAAGGUGAUCAGUCCUAAAUUUAGCAUUAAGAUCAACUAGAUGAAGAACCUAUUGAUUUCCCUAACAAUAAUAUCGAUUUAGCAAACCAUUAAAUAAACUUUAAAGAACCUUAAACCUAAUAAUGGAAUUACUCAGACAUAAUCAUAAAGAGCAUAAUAAUAGUCUGAAUAAUUUGCAUAGAAAAAGUAGAGAAAUAAAGAGAGUUCAAAAUAUUCUCUCUGAAGGGGUUCAGAUUUCUUUCUUCAACUCUAAGCUCUCUCUGAUAAUAAUAUUAAGCACAUGUUACAAAAAUUUCAAAAAUUCUAGUAUAUAGUCUAUUUUUGGUCAUGGAUUUGUUGUACAAUUCUUAGAACUUCUAGGAAAACAUGUAUUUUUAUUUAAUCAUCAUUAAACUCGCGGAUAACGGAGUGUCGAUCGACAUUGUAAAUGGGUAUCAGUCGUCUUUUUGCAUGAACAGACUUCGACUUCAUGUUUUCCGAAGAGCUUUCCUCAAAGCUCCAAA
rnacentral:lncRNA from 1 species